GACGAACGCUGGCGGCGCGCUUAAAACAUGCAAGUCGAGCGGGAAUGUGGGAGCUUGCUCCCGCAUCUCUAGCGGCGAACGGGUGAGUAACACGUGAGGAACCUGCCCCGAAGUCUGGGAUAACACCGGGAAACCGGUGCUAAUACCAGGCGCCUUCACUGCAUCGCAUGGUGUGGUGAAGAAAGGUUUACUGCUUCGGGAUGGCCCCGCGGCCUAUCAGCUUGAUGGUGAGGUAACGGCUCACCAUGGCAACGACGGGUAGCUGGUCUGAGAGGAUGUCCAGCCACACUGGGACUGAGAUACGGCCCAGACUCCUACGGGAGGCAGCAGUUAGGAAUCUUGCUCAAUGGGCGAAAGCCUGACGCAGCGACGCCGCGUGCGGGAUGAAGGCCUUCGGGUUGUAAACCUCUUUCAGCACCGACGAAGCGCAAGUGACGGUAGGUGCAGAAGAAGGACCGGCCAACUACGUGCCAGCCGCCGCAGUAA
rnacentral:rRNA from 1 species